rnacentral:lncRNA from 1 species
GAUCGUGGUGUAUAUGUGGUUGAUUGUGGUGUGUAUGUAGUGAUGGUGUUGUAUGUGUGGUGAUGGUGGUGUGUGUGGUUAUGGUGGUGUAUAUGUGGUGAUGGUGGUGUAUGUGUGUUUAUGGUUGUGUGUAUGUGGUGAUGGUGGUGUAUGUGUGGUGAUGGUGCUGUGUGUGGUUAUAGUGGUGUAUGUGUGGUGAUCGUGGUAUAUGUGUGGUGACUGUGGUGUGUAUGUGGUGAUGGUGGUGUGUGUGUGUUGAUGGUGGUGUGUGUGGUUAUGGUGGUGUGUGUGAGGUGAUAGUGGUGUAUGUGUGGUGAUCGUGGUGUAUGUGUGGUGUUGGUGGAUUAUGUGUGGUGAUUUUGGUAAAUGUAUUGUGAUGGUGCUGUAUGUGUGGUGAUGGUGGUGUUUAUGUGAUGAUUGUGGAUUAUGUGUGGUGAAGGUGGUAUGUAUGUGGUGGUGGUGGUGUGUGUGUGGUUAUAGUGGUGUAUGUGUGGUGAUGGUGCUGUGUGUGUGGUUAUGGUGGUGUAUUGUGGUGAUUGUGGUGUGUGUGUGGUGAUGGUGGUGUGUUUGUGGUUAUGGUGGUGUGUAUGUGGUGAUGGUGGAUUAUGUGUGGUGAUUUUGGUAAAUGUAUUGUGAUGGUGGUGUAUGUGUCGUGAUAGUGCUUACAUGUGGUGAUCGUGGUGUAUGUGUGGUGACUGUGGUAUGUAUGUGGUGAUGGUUGUGUAUGUGUGGUGAUGGUGCUGUGUGUGUGGUGAUGGUAGUGUUUUUGUGGUGAUAGUGGUGUAUGUGUUGUGAUGGUGGUGAGGGUGUGGUUAUGGUGGUGUAUGUGUGGUGAUGGUGCUGUGUGUGUGGUUAUGGUGGUGUAUGUGUGGUGAUCGUGGUAUAUGUGUGGUGACUGUGGUGUGUAUGUGGUGAUGGUGGUGUGUGUGUGGUGAUGGUGGUGUAUAUGUAGUUUUUAUGGUGUGUGUGUGGUUAUGGUAGUGUAUAUGUGGUGAUGGUGGUGUGUGUGUGGUUAUGGUGGUGUGUAUGUGGUGAUUGUGGUGUAUGUGUGGUGACUGUGGUGUGUAUGUGGUGAUGGUGGUGUGUAUGUGGUGAUGGUGGUGUAUGUGUGGUGAUCGUGGUGUGUGUGUGUGGUGAUGGUGGUGUGUAUGUGGUGAUGGUGGUGUAUGUGUGGUGAUCGUGGUGUGUGUGUGUGGUGAUCGU